UGCAGAAGAUGAUAUAAAUAGAAACCAUUGCUGAUAUACUGUUACUAUUCUAACCUGCUGUA
rnacentral:sRNA from 1 species